rnacentral:rRNA from 1 species
AUGAGGAGGCCGGCGGUGGUUGCGGUGGCACUGCUCCUGCUCAUCGCAUGGCAGCCGGCGCCGGGGAGGACGGCGGCCGCGAUGGACGAGCAGGACGAGGAUCCACCCGCCCGCAGCCUGCCGCCGCCGGACGAGCAGGACGACGAUCCGCCCACACGAAGCAUGCCGCCGCCGUCAGACGAGCAGGACGACAAUCCGCCUCUGCGAAGCAUGCCGCCGCCGCCGUCGGACGAGCAGGAGGACAAUCCACCUGUGCGAAGCAUGCCGCCACCGCCGCCGUCGGACAAGCAGGAGGAUAAUCCAUCCUGGCCUGGGCUUCCAUUGUUGCCGCCGCCGCCCCCGCCGGGCUCCAUGCCACUGCCGCCGCCGCCGCCGGCGGCGGAACCAGCAGCGCCGCCGACUCGCCCACGGCGUGCGCGGCUGCCGCCGAGGCAGGAUGAUCCGCCGGAACCUGAGCCGCCGGAGCUGCCUCGCCAUAGGCGGACGCCGAAGGAUCCGACGCCGCCACGGACGGUGGUGCCACCGCAGGAACCGGGGUGGGCCGCGGUGCCGCUGCCGAUGGCACCAAUGCCGGCUCCUGGGAGGCCGAUCAACUACAGCACCACCGGCUGGACGACCAUGCUGGUGUUCGGGGACUCGACGGUGGACCCCGGGAACAACAACCGGCUGCAGACGGUGAUGAGGGCCAACUUCCUGCCGUACGGCGCGGGCUUCCUUGGCGGCAGGCCCACCGGCCGGUUCAGCAACGGCAGGCUCAUCACUGACAUACUCGCGGAAAGACUAGGUGUAGCGAGGAGCCUUCCAGGUUUCCGCGAGCCAAGGUUGAGGCCAAGGCAGCUCAGAAGGGGUGUGAGUUUUGCAUCAGCAGGCUCCGGAUACGAUGAUGCGACCGCCAGGGUAUCGAAUACACUAUCAUUUUCCAAUCAAGUCGAGGACCUAUGGCGUUACAGAAGAAACCUCCAAAGAUUAGUGGGACCAAGAAGAGCUGGUCAACUUCUCAGGAGGGCUACAUUCGUCAUAAGUGCUGGAACAACCGAUCUGUUUAACCACUAUCUUGCCACAAACCGUUCAGGAACAGAGAGUUGGCCGCCGUAUGAGAACCUACUGAUAACACGUGUCGCUAACUAUACCCAGGCAAUGAGAGCACUUGGAGGAAGGAGAUUUGUAUUUGUUGGAGUGCCCCCAGUUGGGUGUUUACCACUUGUUAGAACCUUGCUAGGCACGGGUGCAGAAACAUGCCAUGAAAACAUGAACUCCAUGGCAACUUCAUUUAACAGAAGGCUAGGCGAAGUGGUGCGCUUUCUGAGGAACCAACGAGAUAUCAGAGCUACUUUUGUUGAUGUUUAUCCGAUCAUAAGCAUGGCGACAAUAGACCCCAAAAACUUUGGGUUGACAGAGACAUCAAGAGGCUGCUGUGGAACAGGGGUUAUUGAAGUUGGGCAAACAUGCAGAGGCCGAUUAACAUGCACAGAUCCCAGCAAGUACAUGUACUGGGAUGCUGUCCACCAAACAGAGAGAAUGAACCAAAUCAUCACUGAUUACGUGAUUAUGAAUUCAAUUGGAGAAAUUUAUGCCUAG